rnacentral:rRNA from 1 species
UUGACCUCGAUCACGAGUACAAGC